GAGGAAUAUUGGUCAAUGGGCGAGAGCCUGAACCAGCCAAGUCGCGUGAGGGAGUACUGCCCUAUGGGUUGUAAAACCUCUUUUGUCGGGGGAGCAAAAGCCGGACGUGUCCGUCUGUGAGAGUACCCGAAGAAAAAGCAUCGGCUAACUCCGUGCC
rnacentral:rRNA from 1 species